rnacentral:lncRNA from 1 species
UGGAGACUGCUAGUAAUCCCCAGUAAAAAUAAACAUGUUAAUAAUCAAGUAUUUUUGACUCUAAGAGAUUAGUGGUAGUGACAUUGGAGACAAGUGGCAGAUUUGGGAUAGGAUUUUGCUGAGGGAAGCAUGGCUCCGGAUGGGUACUGGCUCCUGCUCUUAAGUUAUUCCAGGAAGUGUAAUGGAAAACAUUUGUAGAGCAGACAGAAGGUUUUGCAGUACUGAUUGCACUUAUUAGAGAAGUACAGCUUUAUGAUAAAAUGAGUUUAGAGUACAGAAACUAGAUAACAUUAGAAAAUUUUAGCAUGUCAGGAGCUUUAAUGCUGGAACUAGUAAUAGGACAAUCAAAAUUAAUGAACAGUGGACUCCUAGGAAUUAUCAGAAACGUAGAAUAAGCCAUUUUAAUUCUGAGAGCAACCUUAUGCUAGAGCAAGAGUUUAGGACUGAGGGGAAAAGUUGAUUUUAAAUAACAUUGGUGUUUUCUCUUAAAUGUUCUUUGAAUUUGGUGAAUGUUUAUUGAGUUCUUACUAUGUAGCAGGUAUUUUAACAGAAGACAGUUGGUUCAUAAAGUAGCUUAUUUGUUCUAGUUUCUUAAUGAUUUUCUCACUUUAACUUAUAUAAAGCAAUGAUUACUGGUUAAUAGUUUAUUUUAUUAUUAGAAGGUGGUUCUCUGUGAUAUCUCAUUGAUGCCCUUACUACUUUAACCAUUGACAUAUUUUAGUGCUUAAUCUGAAUUGUAGGUAAAAUCCUAAUUUUCAGAUUAGAGCAAUGCUGCUAAAAGAAUGGAGACCAUAGUAAACAGUUUCAUAGUUCAGAAGGAAAAAAAUGAAAUAUUUUUUAAAAUGUAUUUUU